rnacentral:rRNA from 1 species
CCGGCACGGGUGAGUAACACGUAUCCAACCUGCCGUCUACUCUUGGACAGCCUUCUGAAGGGAAGAUUAAUACAAGAUGGCAUCAUGAGUUCACAUGUUCACAUGAUUAAAGGUAUUCCGGUAGACGAUGGGGAUGCGUUCCAUUAGAUAGUAGGCGGGGUAACGGCCCACCUAGUCUUCGAUGGAUAGGGGUUCUGAGAGGAAGGUCCCCCACAUUGGAACUGAGACACGGUCCAA